rnacentral:rRNA from 1 species
UUAAGCGACUAAGCGUACACGGUGGAUGCCCUGGCAGUCAGAGGCGAUGAAGGACGUGCUAAUCUGCGAUAAGCGUCGGUAAGGUGAUAUGAACCGUUAUAACCGGCGAUUUCCGAAUGGGGAAACCCAGUGUGUUUCGACACACUAUCAUUAACUGAAUCCAUAGGUUAAUGAGGCGAACCGGGGGAACUGAAACAUCUAAGUACCCCGAGGAAAAGAAAUCAACCGAGAUUCCCCCAGUAGCGGCGAGCGAACGGGGAGCAGCCCAGAGCCUGAAUCAGUGUGUGUGUUAGUGGAAGCGUCUGGAAAGGCGCGCGAUACAGGGUGACAGCCCCGUACACAAAAAUGCACAUAUUGUGAGCUCGAUGAGUAGGGCGGGACACGUGGUAUCCUGUCUGAAUAUGGGGGGACCAUCCUCCAAGGCUAAAUACUCCUGACUGACCGAUAGUGAACCAGUACCGUGAGGGAAAGGCGAAAAGAACCCCGGCGAGGGGAGUGAAAAAGAACCUGAAACCGUGUACGUACAAGCAGUGGGAGCACGCUUAGGCGUGUGACUGCGUACCUUUUGUAUAAUGGGUCAGCGACUUAUAUUCUGUAGCAAGGUUAACCGAAUAGGGGAGCCGAAGGGAAACCGAGUCUUAACUGGGCGUUAAGUUGCAGGGUAUAGACCCGAAACCCGGUGAUCUAGCCAUGGGCAGGUUGAAGGUUGGGUAACACUAACUGGAGGACCGAACCGACUAAUGUUGAAAAAUUAGCGGAUGACUUGUGGCUGGGGGUGAAAGGCCAAUCAAACCGGGAGAUAGCUGGUUCUCCCCGAAAGCUAUUUAGGUAGCGCCUCGUGAAUUCAUCUCCGGGGGUAGAGCACUGUUUCGGCAAGGGGGUCAUCCCGACUUACCAACCCGAUGCAAACUGCGAAUACCGGAGAAUGUUAUCACGGGAGACACACGGCGGGUGCUAACGUCCGUCGUGAAGAGGGAAACAACCCAGACCGCCAGCUAAGGUCCCAAAGUCAUGGUUAAGUGGGAAACGAUGUGGGAAGGCCCAGACAGCCAGGAUGUUGGCUUAGAAGCAGCCAUCAUUUAAAGAAAGCGUAAUAGCUCACUGGUCGAGUCGGCCUGCGCGGAAGAUGUAACGGGGCUAAACCAUGCACCGAAGCUGCGGCAGCGACGCUUAUGCGUUGUUGGGUAGGGGAGCGUUCUGUAAGCCUGUGAAGGUGUGCUGUGAGGCAUGCUGGAGGUAUCAGAAGUGCGAAUGCUGACAUAAGUAACGAUAAAGCGGGUGAAAAGCCCGCUCGCCGGAAGACCAAGGGUUCCUGUCCAACGUUAAUCGGGGCAGGGUGAGUCGACCCCUAAGGCGAGGCCGAAAGGCGUAGUCGAUGGGAAACAGGUUAAUAUUCCUGUACUUGGUGUUACUGCGAAGGGGGGACGGAGAAGGCUAUGUUGGCCGGGCGACGGUUGUCCCGGUUUAAGCGUGUAGGCUGGUUUUCCAGGCAAAUCCGGAAAAUCAAGGCUGAGGCGUGAUGACGAGGCACUACGGUGCUGAAGCAACAAAUGCCCUGCUUCCAGGAAAAGCCUCUAAGCAUCAGGUAACAUCAAAUCGUACCCCAAACCGACACAGGUGGUCAGGUAGAGAAUACCAAGGCGCUUGAGAGAACUCGGGUGAAGGAACUAGGCAAAAUGGUGCCGUAACUUCGGGAGAAGGCACGCUGAUAUGUAGGUGAAGUCCCUCGCGGAUGGAGCUGAAAUCAGUCGAAGAUACCAGCUGGCUGCAACUGUUUAUUAAAAACACAGCACUGUGCAAACACGAAAGUGGACGUAUACGGUGUGACGCCUGCCCGGUGCCGGAAGGUUAAUUGAUGGGGUCAGCGCAAGCGAAGCUCUUGAUCGAAGCCCCGGUAAACGGCGGCCGUAACUAUAACGGUCCUAAGGUAGCGAAAUUCCUUGUCGGGUAAGUUCCGACCUGCACGAAUGGCGUAAUGAUGGCCAGGCUGUCUCCACCCGAGACUCAGUGAAAUUGAACUCGCUGUGAAGAUGCAGUGUACCCGCGGCAAGACGGAAAGACCCCGUGAACCUUUACUAUAGCUUGACACUGAACAUUGAGCCUUGAUGUGUAGGAUAGGUGGGAGGCUUUGAAGUGUGGACGCCAGUCUGCAUGGAGCCGACCUUGAAAUACCACCCUUUAAUGUUUGAUGUUCUAACGUUGACCCGUAAUCCGGGUUGCGGACAGUGUCUGGUGGGUAGUUUGACUGGGGCGGUCUCCUCCUAAAGAGUAACGGAGGAGCACGAAGGUUGGCUAAUCCUGGUCGGACAUCAGGAGGUUAGUGCAAUGGCAUAAGCCAGCUUGACUGCGAGCGUGACGGCGCGAGCAGGUGCGAAAGCAGGUCAUAGUGAUCCGGUGGUUCUGAAUGGAAGGGCCAUCGCUCAACGGAUAAAAGGUACUCCGGGGAUAACAGGCUGAUACCGCCCAAGAGUUCAUAUCGACGGCGGUGUUUGGCACCUCGAUGUCGGCUCAUCACAUCCUGGGGCUGAAGUAGGUCCCAAGGGUAUGGCUGUUCGCCAUUUAAAGUGGUACGCGAGCUGGGUUUAGAACGUCGUGAGACAGUUCGGUCCCUAUCUGCCGUGGGCGCUGGAGAACUGAGGGGGGCUGCUCCUAGUACGAGAGGACCGGAGUGGACGCAUCACUGGUGUUCGGGUUGUCAUGCCAAUGGCACUGCCCGGUAGCUAAAUGCGGAAGAGAUAAGUGCUGAAAGCAUCUAAGCACGAAACUUGCCCCGAGAUGAGUUCUCCCUGACCCUUUAAGGGUCCUGAAGGAACGUUGAAGACGACGACGUUGAUAGGCCGGGUGUGUAAGCGCAGCGAUGCGUUGAGCUAACCGGUACUAAUGAACCGUGAGGCUUAACCUU